rnacentral:lncRNA from 1 species
CCCCCUAGACCGCCCCCUCCAGGCCCCGGGGCGAGAGUCUUAACUCUUUCGCUCCCGAAGACCCAGAGCCGAGGGAGGCCCUGCGGAAACCCUUCCCUUCGCCGCGGGCGCAGGCCGGUUAGAUCCGAGGGGGAAGGACUACAGAAGGAGCCCGAGGGGAAGGGGGCCUGGGGGGGGGCCCUCCACGUCCCCGCCCCUUGGCUUGCCUUGUCUGCCCCCCUUCUUAAGCUUGUGGCAAGUGAAAGAGCCAACUUAGCAGUGGACUGAUCAAGUGUUGCUUUGAUCUCAUUCCUAGAAGCCUGCACCCCAAGGCUCCACACCACUCCAGGGCAAGGCCGGAGAGUCUGUGGAAGGGUCCAGUGUGUGGCUCAGAGAAACUUUGGAUUCCUCAAGAAAUCCAAACACUGAGGGGUGCAGACACUGCAGAAGGAACUCUGCCUAGUUAGAUCUGCUGGAAGAAAAUAUCCUGGCCAGAAGAUUUCCAUAGACAGGAAGAAGGGACACAGCUGGCUCAGCAUUUUUAUAGGUAUUUCCUUAAUUUAUCAUCUUCUACUCUGCCUUCCACAUUUGUUGAUUCAGAGCUUACAGUUUCUCUCUGAUGGAAUCCUUAGAGAUGAAUGUCUCUCACAGCUGUCUUUUCCACACCUAUUGUGUGUUCCAGUUUUCUCUGGUUUGGAUUUUUU